AUAAAAUGGAAAAAAACACCUGAGGGAAACAUGAGGCCAGGGAACAGAAGCCUUGAACAGAAACGAAAAGGAGAAACAGCAUUAAUACAGCACAAAUGAUCAGUCACUCUCCUAUUUACUGCAGAAGGUGUUUCCUCCAGGAGAGAAGUUUAUUAAUUUACUCACUUGAGAACGUCAGGAAACCUGGUAGGUUGUAGCUCUAGCAAGAAGCAGAAGUUAGUUUUAUUUAAAAGUUAUGUAUUUCUUCAGUUACUGGGGUCGAAAAAGAAAAAAAAAUCCAGACAAAAUAGAAACUACAACAGAAAGGAGGAAAAAAAAAAAAAAGAUGGAAAGGAAUUCACAGUCAACCAAAGGAAAACUCAGAAGACGGAAUAAGUACAAGUUCUGUAUGUUUUGGUUUUCGCUUCCAUUCCUCCUUGCUUUUUUCCAGCACCUCUUCACCAUCCCUUUUACUGUUUAUUUGGGGUUGGGUCAGUGUAGCACUGAUCGCAUGUUAAAGGAGUGUAUGGUUAUCUCUGCAAGCCAUAACAAGGACUGGGAUCUAGUUUGCUUUGGGUGUAGGGCUGUGGGGAACUAGCUUUGGUUACCUAGGUAGCUGCCUCUCUCAGCCUCACUAGGGCCUGCAAACCAUUUGCUUCCUUAUUGGCUUUCCUAAAUUUGCCUUUGGUUUUCCCUGUCAUCUCUAAAGUCACAGGCCUUCUUCUUUUCACUGGCAUUUCCCUGAGGUUAUCUAGAUAUCCAUCUAUACCAGCUUAUUUAAAUGCAUUGGCUUCUGCAAGGGCCUGUUGUUUUAUGUGUACCUUAGAAGCUGAUUUAAGUUAUACUUUCUCUUAACUGUUCAAGCCAAGCUUGGGAAACAACAACAAAAAAAAGCUGUGUAAAACUGCUGGAGGAGGGAAAUUAGAAGGCACCGAGUUUGUCAGUCUAAAGGAUCCUGGCAGUAUGGGCCUCGUCUGGUUGCCCUCCUUGGGUUUUCUAGGUCCCUGGUUUGCAUAAGGGCAGUCAUGUGUUAACAAACAAAAGGUACAGCUAGCCAAAUACUCCUGCCUUUCAGACAAUGAAUUAACUAUUUAGGCAAGGAAUGCCUUUAAAAAAACAAAACAAAACAAAAACAUAAGAACAAGGUGAGCUUAAACAAUGCCUCAACAUCUAGGUUGAGUAUUUUCUGACUCUAUAUGACCUUCUAGCCAUAUGUAAUGGAUUGAUAAUUAGUAAUCCUCACCAGACUUGUCUUCCACAGACCUGUCUAGUUUCCCCUGGAGCAUGUAAAAACCUUUAACAUCUCAUGGUAAGGAAUUCCCCUGAGGGUCACUCCUUUCGUGGAAAAAACAAACCCUGCUUUGCUGGUUCUGAACUCAGUUCCUGCUAACUUCAACUAUUUCUCACCCGUUUUCUACGGGUUAUAAUUUUAUCAUCUGUUGUGUAUCCCACUUGUCAAUUCCUUUUCAGGAUGAGUCAUCUUUUAUGUAGCUUAUCAUUGUUAGGCUUUCCUUAAAGUUUCUUUUCCACUGUAUUUUUAGUCCUUGAAGGCUCAAAUUUAGAGGGAAGGGCAGACAAUGACUGCAGGUUUGAUGCAGAAGUGAAUAUAAACUUGGAAACUGAUUUGCACUAUAGCUCUCUUUUUAUUGGUCACAUACAUUUCUUUUUCAAGUAACUGUAAUUAUAAUGUAUGGAUAGAUAGCAGGAUUUGUAUUGAAACAGUAUGUUCUUGUAGUAAACUUAGAAAACUUUUUUUUCCAAGUGAUACAGUGAAGCACAUGAUUCAUUGAUGUCAGUCAUGUAUAUGCAUGGCUGUCAUCGUGGAAAGCAGGGAGUUAAACGGCAAGUGGGAGGACACUGCUGAGUGGCAUAUAGGAAAGUGCUGAUCAGCUUAAAGCGGAAACUCACUCAUUUAGAGUACACACCUGAGCAUGUGCUGGGUGAUGAGGGCAUGGCCCAGGCCCAAGGAAGAGAGGUCCAAAAUAAUGCUGAUGAAUUGCUGUGGCAGGCCUAAAGGCGUUCCUUUUAUGCUGUGCUGAGUUCUGAGGCUAUGCCGUGGGGUACAAAGGAGGAUUGCAGGAGAGUGUGGGAAAUGGAGACAGGCUCUAACUGCAGAAGCCUGCAGCAUUCACAGGGGAGUUUGUGUACUGCAGUCUCCGACAGAAUUGUUUCAUAAAGCGAGUGAUUCAGAACUUCUUCCUUCAGGGUGGGGCAGUAAGUACUUUACUGGAUUGCUUAAAAUGAUAAAGCCAAACCAUGACUAAUAUACAAAAAAAAAAAACAAACCCAAACUCACCCUACAUCUGAGAUGUAAGUAACUGAAAUUUUAUUCAGAAUGUACUUAUACUAUGGGUAUGAAGAAUAAAUGCUUGUCUUUAAAUAAUGAACAAUUUAUGCCGCAGUCUAUUUUUAGUUAACCGGGCCUCUGUUACAGUACAGUCAGCCUGGUUGUCCAUUGUUUGUUCUCUCCAUGUGUUUUCUUAAUUCAUUGAUACAUAUCCCUCUGCAGACUGCCAAGCUUUCUUCUUUACAAACAUCAAAAUUAAAUGCAUUAACCUGGCGGGUCUUCAGAAGGGAAAGCACUGGGCUUAGACAAAGAAGAACUGAUUGCUCUAGAUGCUGAUGGCCAUUGUCAGGCCUUACUGCCAGGCUGCCUGUUCUAUUAACAUGGAGAAGUGCUGUUGUACCCUGUGUUAUCGGAAACCAGUAGAACUUGUAAACAAGCUCUUCCACUUAUUCUUUGUAUGAUUCAAAUAUAAUUUGCAGUUGUGAAUCACU